rnacentral:rRNA from 1 species
UACAGAGGCCUCGAGCGUUUAGGCGGAAUCACUGGGCUUAAAGCGUGUGUAGGCGGAUCGUUAAGUACCUUGUGAAAUCCCACGGCUCAACCGUGGAACUGCUUGGUAUACUGGCGGUCUUGUGCAACCUAGGGGCGAGCGGAACAGAUGGUGGAGCGGUGAAAUGCGUAGAUAUCAUCUGGAACGCCAAGUGGUGAAAACAGCUCGCUGGGGGUUUGCAG